rnacentral:rRNA from 1 species
AAACUGGAGAGUUUGAUCCUGGCUCAGAUUGAACGCUGGCGGCAUGCCUAACACAUGCAAGUCGAACGGAAACGACGAGAACAAUCCCUUCGGGGUGCGUUCUCGGGCGUCGAGUGGCGGACGGGUGCGUAACGCGUAGGAAUCUACCUUAUAGUGGGGGACAACUCGGGGAAACUCGAGCUAAUACCGCAUAAUCCUUACGAGGGAAAGCAGGGGAUCUUCGGACCUUGUGCUAUUAGAUGAGCCUGCGUCGGAUUAGCUUGUUGGUAGGGUAAUGGCCUACCAAGGCAACGAUCCGUAGCUGGUCUGAGAGGAUGAUCAGCCACACUGGGACUGAGACACGGCCCAGACUCCUACGGGAGGCAGCAGUGGGGAAUAUUGGACA